CCUACGGGAGGCAGCAGUGGGGAAUAUUGCACAAUGGGGGAAACCCUGAUGCAGCGACGCCGCGUGAGUGAAGAAGUAUUUCGGUAUGUAAAGCUCUAUCAGCAGGGAAGAAGCAAGACGGUACCUGACUAAGAAGCCCCGGCUAACUACGUGCCAGCAGCCGCGGGAAUACGUAGGGGGCAAGCGUUAUCCGGAUUUACUGUGUGUAAAGGGAGCGUAGACGGUAUGGCAAGUCUGAAGUGAAAGCCCAGGGCUUAACCCUGGGACUGCUUUGGAAACUGUUAGACUAGAGUGCUGGAGAGGUAAGUGGAAUUCCUAGUGUAGCGGUGAAAUGCGUAGAUAUUAGGAGGAACACCAGUGGCGAAGGCGGCUUACUGGACAGUAACUGACGUUGAGGCUCGAAAGCGUGGGGAGCAAACAGGAUUAGAUACCCUGGUAGUC
rnacentral:rRNA from 1 species